GAGUUUGAUCGUGGCUCAGAAUCAACGCUGGCGGCGUGCCUAACACAUGCAAGUCGAACGAGAAAGGGACUUCGGUCCUGAGUAUAGUGGCGCACGGGGUGAGUAACACGUGAAUGAUCUACCUCCGAGUGGGGAAUAACUAAGAGAAAUCUUAGCUAAUACCGCAUAACACUUACGAGUCAAAGCAGCAAUGCGCUUGGAGAGGAGUUCGCGGCAGAUUAGUUAGUUGGCGGGGUAAUGGCCCACCAAGACGAUGAUCUGUAUCCGGCCUGAGAGGGCGCACGGACACACUGGAACUGAAACACGGUCCAGACUCCUACGGGAGGCAGCAGUGGGGAAUUUUGCGCAAUGGGGGAAACCCUGACGCAGCAACGCCGCGUGGAGGAUGAAGUAUCUUGGUACGUAAACUCCUUUCGAUGGGGAAGAUAAUGACGGUACCCAUAGAAGAAGCCCCGGCUAACUUCGUGCCAGCCGCCGCCGUAAC
rnacentral:rRNA from 1 species